GAUGAACGCUGGCGGCGUGCCUAAUACAUGCAAGUCGAGCGAACGGACGAGAAGCUUGCUUCUCUGAUGUUAGCGGCGGACGGGUGAGUAACACGUGGAUAACCUACCUAUAAGACUGGGAUAACUUCGGGAAACCGGAGCUAAUACCGGAUGAUAUUUUGAACCGCAUGGUUCAAAAGUGAAAGACGGUCUUGCUGUCACUUAUAGAUGGAUCCGCGCUGCAUUAGCUAGUUGGUAAGGUAACGGCUUACCAAGGCAACGAUGCAUAGCCGACCUGAGAGGGUGAUCGGCCACACUGGAACUGAGACACGGUCCAGACUCCUACGGGAGGCAGCAGUAGGGAAUCUUCCGCAAUGGGCGAGAGCCUGACGGAGCAACGCCGCGUGAGUGAUGAAGGUCUUCGGAUCGGAAAACUCUGUUAUUAGGGAAGAACAUAUGCGUAAGUAACUGUGCACAUCUUGACGGUACCUGAUCAGAAAGCCACGGCUAACUACGUG
rnacentral:rRNA from 1 species